CGGAGGCUCGUCGCAUGGCGAGUUGUCUGAAGGUAGGGACCCUUCGGGGCCUGCCACUUGAGGAGGGGCCUGCGUCCCAUCAGCUAGUUGGUAGGGUAACGGCCUACCAAGGCUUACGGGUAGCUGGUCUGAGAGGAUGGUCAGCCACACUGGGACUGAGACACUGCCCAGACUCCUACGGGAGGCUGCACGAGAAUCUUUUGCAAUGCGCGAAAGCGUGACAAAGCGACGCUGCGGAGGAUGAAGGCCUUCGGGUUGUAAACUCCUGUCAUUCGGGAAAAAGGCCCGGCGUGA
rnacentral:rRNA from 1 species